UGCCAGGUCCAUACCACCCGGAACGUGAGCGAUCCUGUCUGAUCUCGGAAGCUAAGAAGGGUCGGGCCUGGUUAGUGCUUGGAUGGGAGAUAAGAUAUUUUUAAAGAAUGUCCUGGAAU
rnacentral:rRNA from 1 species